GAGACACAGCGGAGAUAGCGCGCCUGCUAAAGGCUGCCGCCGCCAACACCUUAGGUGAAUACCGAGCUCCAGGAAGGUCGCUGUGGGUAGGGCAUGUGGGAAACGAGGCCAGGGGGAGAAGGAGGCCUCAACGUGGCCAAAGCACCUUGAUGAUGCGCUCUGUCCCCGGAGGCGCGUUCCACGGCCGCUGCCGGCACCUAGGCAGAGGGAUACGUUCCAGAAACACCUCAGCUUAGCGCGGGGAUGGCCUUCUUGUGCGUGAGUCCCUCUGCACACGGGAACUGUGCGCCCUGGGCACUGCACCUUCCAGUAUGUGGGCCGGAGAGGCGGGGGAUCUUGCCCAGCGGGUCCGACAGGGCAUGGAAGGAAGUAAAUGGAAGCCGGCUGGCUGCUCUAAGUUGAUCUGGUGCCUUGGUCACUCGUGGCUUCUUUCUUCUAUGCCAGCUCUGUCUUCUCUACACUUCCUCUGGAGGAGUAGGCCUUGACACAAUUACAAGAAGUCAGGGACCCUGAACAGAGGGACCAGCUGAAGUCACAGCAGAAGAACAUAAAUUGUGAAGAUUUCAUGGACAUUUAUUAGUUCCCCAAAUUAAUACUUUUAUAAUUUCUUAUGCCUGUCUUUACUGCAAUCUCUGAACAUAAAUUGUGAAGAUUUCAUGGACAUUUAUCACUUCCCCAAUCAAUACUCUUAUAAUUUCCUAUGCCUGUCUUUAAUCUCUUAAUCCCAUCAUCUUCCUAAACUGAGGAUGUAUGUCGCCUCAGGACCCUGUGAUGAUUGCAUUAUCUGCACAAGUUGUUUGUAAAGCGUGUGUGUUUGAACAAUAUGAAAUCUGGGCACCUUGAAAGGAACAGGAUAACAGUGAUUUUCAGAGAACAAGGGAGAUAACCAUAAGGUCUGACUGCCUGCAGGACCGGGCAGAACAGAGUCGUAUUUCUCUUCUUACAGAAAGCGAAUAGGAGAAAUAUUGCGAAUUCUUUUCUCAGCAAGGAAUAGCCCUGGGAAAGGAAAGCAUUCCCAGGGGGAGGUCUCUAAAAUGGCUGCUCUGGGAGUGUCUGUCUUAUGUGGUUGAAGAUAAGGGAUGAAAUACACCCUGGUCUCCUGCAGCGCCCUCAGGCUUGCUAGGAUUAGGAAAUUCCAGCCUGGCGAAUUCUAAUCAGACCAGUUGUCUGCUCUCGAACCCUAUUUCCUGCUAAGAUGUUUAUCAAGACAAUGCGUGCCCAGUGGGACAUGGAACCUCAUCAGUAAUUCUAAUUUCACCCUGGCCCUGUGAUCUCGCUCUGCCCUUCUGCGCUUGUAAUCUUUUAUUGCCUCUUGAAGCAUGUGAUCUGUGUGAUUUACUCCCUGUUCAUACCCCCUUCCCCUUUUCAAAUCCCUAAUAAAAACUUGUUGGUUUUGCGGCUCAAGGGGCAUCACGGAACCUGCCGACAUGUGAUGUCACCCCUGGAGGCCCAGAUGUAGAAUUUCUCUCUUUGUACUCUUUCUCUUUAUUUCUCAGACUGGCCGACACUUAGGGAAAAUAGAAAAGAACCUACAUUGAAAUAUUGGGGGCUGGUUCCCCCAAUACUUUGGUUUUGUUUUUCUUUUUGUUUUAUUUUCUGUAUGCGAAAGCUUCAAGUAUUGAUCCAACAUGUUUUCUAAUAUAAGCAUUUAGUGCUAUAAAUUUCCCUCACAGCUCUUGGGUAUUGGUAUACCACACAUUUUUAUAUGCUGUAUUUUCAUUUGAUUCUGGGUAGAUACUUUUGUUAUUCUUUGUUUGUUUGUUUCUAUUUCCCAUGAGAUGAGACUUCUUCUUUGACCCAUGGAUUAUUUAGAAGGGAGUUGUUUAGUUUCUAAGUGUUUGGAAAUUUUCCUGUUACCUUUUUCCUGUUGAUUUCUAAUUUGAUUCUAUUUUGGUUAGAAAGCAUAUUCUGUAUGAUUUCAGUUUUUUUAAUGUCACAGGACAUAAUUCCAAAAGUCCCUGUGGACCUUUCUCUUCUGUUUUUGUCUCCCUUCUCUCUGUUGGUCAGGGUAGUUUCUCUUUCCAGGUUCACUGGUUCUCUCCUCUCUCCUUUCCACUCUGUUGUAGAGCCUGUCUACUGAGCUAUUUAUUUCAAUUCUUUCAUUUUGUUUGAAAUUUUAUUUGAGAUGGAAUCUGACUCUGUCACCCAGGCUGGAGUGCAGUGGCAUGAUCUCUGCUCACUGCAGCCUCCACCUCCCAGGCUCAAGUGAUUCUCCUGCCUCAGCCUCCUGAGUAGCUGGGAUUGUAGGUGCCUACCACCACACCUGGCUAAUUUUUAUAUUUUUAGUAGAGACAAGGCUUCAUUAUGUUGGCUAGGCUGGUCUCAAACUCCUGACCUCAGGUGAUCUGCCCACCUUGGCCUCUCAAAUUGCUGGGAUUACAGGCGCAAUUAUUCCAUGUUUUUAUUCUUUUCUUUUCUUUUUUUUUUUUUUUUAGACAGAGUCUCGCACUGUCACCCAGGCUGGAAUGCAGUGGCGCGGUCUCGGCUCACUGCAAGCUCUGCCUCCCGGGUUCACACCAUUCUCCUGCCUCAGCCUCCUGAGCAGCCAGGACUACAGGCACUGGCCACCACGCCCGGCUAAUUUUUUUGUAUUUUUAGUAGAGACAGGGUUUCACUGUAUUAGCCAGAAUGGUCUCGAUCUCCUGAACUUGUGAUCCCCCCGCCUCGGCCUCUGAAAGUACUGGGAUUACAGGCAUGAGCCACUGUGCCCGGCCUCAUGUUUUUAUUCUUAAAAUUUUUAUUUGAUUUUUCUGUGUGUCUUCUAUUUUACUUCUAUUUUUCUACCUUUUCUUUUGAUUCAAGCAUUUAUGUAAUUGCUCACUGGGGCCUUUUCAUGGGAUGUGCUUUAAAAAUCUCUUUUUAGAGAGCCCUGGGUGGUGGGGUGAGCAUGGAAGUCUGCCUCCCUGCCCCCUCCUUAGCUGAAGGUGGUGGGGAUGGAGCCACAUUUUUUUCCUGUGGUGUUUUCCUAGAGUUGGGUGGUUACUGUCUAAAAGUUUUCUGGCUUGUUAGGCUGAUCCUUUAGUGGGGCUUUUUUUUUUUUCCUCUAUUUCCAUUACCAUUUCCAGGUUGAUUCUUCUUCAGCUCCAACUAUAGAAUACAUGAGAUGACAAAACCACCCAAGUCCCAGGGGCCUUAGCCAGCCUGCUUUUCUCUACCUUUCAUAUUCAUCUUAUGUUUGUUUUAAAUAUAACUUCCAGCAUUGUUAUCUACACUUAAUAGGAGAAGCAGAGAAAGGUGUUUACUCCAUUUUGUCUGGAAGUGGAAGUCCAUUGUUUUUAUUUUUUAAAGUAUUUUAUUUUACUUAGCAAUCAGCAGUACAUAGUAGUUUGACAAAGCAGAAAGUGCAUGCAUUUCCCUUUCAGUGUUAACUGUGAACACCUGGCUGUCUCUCUUCAUGAAUAUUUAUGGAGAUAAGUGUUGGGCAUUGUAGUAAGGCGAAAAGAGAGAUGAAAAGAUGAAUGGAUGAAGAGACAGAAAGAAAACUGGCAUUGUUUAGUAAUAAAUAGGUUUAAUAACAAAAAAAUUAAUGUUACUCAAAUUUAAAAAGAAAAAGUAACUAGAGAACUAAAGAAAUUGCUGUUCUUCAAGAGAACUAUAUUGAACAAGAGGAAAUCCUUGUUUUGUAAUAUUUCUCUAUGAGUGAAAGAAAGAAGGUAAGACAGUUAUGAGAGACUCAGUAUGUUUGUGUCCACAUGAUUAGACAUUCAACCUUGCUUACAUUUCUUCUCCCUCUCUUUUGUCCUCUAUGGACUGUUUUUUAAAUUGUUGUAAAAUUAUUUUUACUUUGUCAAGAUUUACUUAUUUAAAUUUUUGUUCCGGACCCAUAUUUAUUCCUGUAACUGUUUUUCUCAAUUUAACAUUUAAAUUCUCAUUAUACCAUGUGUUCUACAUUGAUCAAUUAAAUGGUUCCAACCACCCUCUUACAAGGACAAAAAAGAAAAAAAUAUGUCUGGUCUUAACAACAAUGUAGUAAGCCAAGAAAGAAAAAUAAAAUGUAUAAAGAUUGGGGUAAAAAAACAGCCCUCAUUACCAUUCAUUCUGUAGUAAUUUUAUUCCCUAGUUCUUCAUUGUGAUCCUCCCUUUUUUCUUGGGUAGGGGGGUGGAUUUAAGUAUCAAGUAGUUAAAAUGUUCUCCUCUCAACCUGUAUCUUGAAUAAUGAGAAGAAAAAUGUUCUUCUCUUUGUCUUUGCACGUUUGAGAAUCCCUACUAAAUUUAUUAGCUCCAUAAUACAUUUUUGUUCUCAGAGUAAUUCAUAGCUUUUCAUCUCUCUUUUUAAAAAAAUCAUGUUGGGUGGUGUGUAUUUCAUUAAAUUCAUGUCCUUAUUGAAUUACUCUAUAGCACAAGCAUUUUUAGAAGAUUUCUUGUAUUCCUUGGAUCUUAGUUUUCCCAGAAUGUGUUCUUCCUUGGAUGUUUUUCAUACCAUGUUCUUUCUCUCCUGUAUUGGUGUUAUUUCUGUGCAUAAUGAUAAUGACAGGAUCCUUUUUAAAAAAUAUUAUUGAUCCUAACGUGGCUGGUUUUAGCCAGACCUCUAAUUGGCUGUGAUUAGUACAGAUGGGUUCUUGUAGACACUCCUCCAAAAAUAUUUGUGACAUCUGUCUUCUAAGCUGCAUCUAAUGCAUUUGAUGUUGCAUUCUCUGUUCCUUUUUAAUAGCAGAGGCCUUGGGGUAGGGGAUGGGAGAACCUGUCUAAGAAAACCUUUAGCUCUUUGUUGUAGGCCUGAAGACUGUUCUUUCCCCUCUCAACUUUGAAUAAAUACUCCUGGGGUCUCAUUCUCCCAACUCUACAUAUUGCCUCAAAAAUUGGCAAGCCCCUGGCAGCCCCUCCCAGUGUCUGCAGAAGAGUAGUGUAUAAGGGCUUCUGCUCUUGAUGGUGUAUUUCCUUGAUUUUUCCUCUCAAGCUGCCUACUCUACCUGCAUCUCCCCAUCUUUUAACAGUGCCUAUUAAAUGAUGGCCCAUCAAUAUUGUUACUGUAAUUCCUAAACUGAUUUUCAAAGCAUUCUUAUUUUUUUCUAUCAGAGAUAAAUAAAUCAUUUAGGAAGAGAUUCAUUUGAACAUUCUUGUUUAUAAGCCAAAGGGUUUCCAAAGAGGAAUAGUUUGAAGAUUGACAAAAAUGGGGAUAAUUUGUGAGAGUGAAUGCCUGGAGAGUAUCAGGGAACAUCUAGAACAUACAAUAAGAGGAUACAUGGAAGGGCAACUUUUCCUUUGAGACAGGAAGGGAAAGACAUAUGGAUGAAAUGAGUGAAAUUAUACAGAGUUGGGAUUUCCUCUUGAUGGCUUCUUCUUCAGGUAACCACAGAGUCUGAGCACUAUCAAAAAUUCUUCCUGGGCCAGGCAUGGACUCCUAGUGGAUUGCCUGAGCUCAGGAGUUCAAGACCAGCCUGGGUAACAUGGUGAAACCCCAUCUCUACUAAAAAUACAAAAAAAUUAGCCAGGCCUGGUGGCAUGUGCCUGUAAUCCCAUCUACUUGGGAGGCUGAGGCACAAGAACCACUUGAACCUGGGCGGCGGAGGCUGCAGUGAACUGAGAUCGUGCCACUGCACUCUAGCCUGCGUGACAGAGCAAGACUCUGUCUCCAGAAAAAAAAAAAGGGGGGGCAUGGUGGCCGGUGCCUGUAAUUCCAGCACUUUGGGAGGCCGAGGCAGGUGGAUCACCUGAGGUUAGGAGUUCAAGACCAUACUGGCCAACAUGGUGAAAAGUUGUCUCUACUAAAAAUACAAAAAAGUUAGCUGGGUGUGGUGGUGGGCACCUGUAAUCCCAGCUACUCAGGAGGCUGAGGCAGGAGAAUCACUUGAACCCAGGAGGUGGAGGUGGCAGUGAGCCGAGAUUGCGCCACUGCACACCAGCCUAGGCAACGAGAGUGAAACUCCAUCUCAAAAACAAAACAAAACAAAACAAAACAAAACAAAACAAAACAAAACAAAACAAAAAAACUUUCUGUACAUCUCCUCCACCUUUCCUGUGACUAUCAGCUUUACACAUUAUGUCAGGAACAUUUUCUGGAUAGCUAAAAGGGGGUGAAUAUGCUUAUAUUUUAGGAGCCAGUGACAUUCAAGAAUGUUGUUGUAGACUUUACUGAGGGGGAGUGGAGAUAACUGAGCCCUCCACAGAGGAAUCUGUACAGAGAAGUGACACUGGAGAACUGUAGGAAUCUAAUCUAUGUGCGUAAGAGCCGUUUUCUUUUGUUACUGAAAAUCUUCCUAUUUGAGGGUCUUUGCGUCCUCAGUUAUUAACAGCCAUGAGUCUUCAUAGCAUUUUACUCUGCUGGGCUUAUAUGGUCCUCAAAACCAAAGGUUAUAAAAUCUAGUUGGCCCCCAAGACACAAGAUGUUCCUAAUACAUUUUCCCCAGGUAAAUUGCCUUUAUUUUUAAAGAGUUGAUGUUAGGAGCUUUCUAUACUACUCCUCCCUUAAACCUCACAGUAGCCAUCAUUCAGUGAGCCAAACUUUAAGGGGUUAGGGCUGAAUUUUCAGAUAUUUGUUAUAUCUUUCUUUCCCCAUGGGUGGGCUGUCAUCCCUUCAAAGCCAGUGUUAUCUCCCAGCUGGAGCUAGAAGAGUUGUGGAUGAUGGGCUGGGCACCCCUAACAGCCACUUGUCCAGCUGAGAAAUAGAAGCAUGAUGUUCUUGGAAUUGGUCAAUGAAGAAGACAUUUCUUACAGUGUUGUCUGAGGAAUUCAUCUCAUAGUCAUAUCUAUUUUCACUUAUUCUUUAUCUUUCUAUCCUAUUAGUUUCUCCUUCAUAUUUCUGAGAGGAAGAUGUGUUCUUCCUUAACUAAGUUCACAUUUCCUUUUGUUUUCAAACUUCCUUCCCUUCUUUUCUCACUCAUCUCUUCCCACUCGUCUCUUUACUGUGGCUUGCAAGCAUGAUGACUCCUUCUCACUCCAGCAUUCUCAGCUUUGUCUUUCACAGCCUCCUUUCUUUAGUCAUUUAGCUUUUCAUGACUCUUUCACCCAAUAAAUAGAAAUUCACGUACUGUACAUUGUCAGAUCUCACUGCUUCAGAGCAAGAUUUGGUUAAAACUUCCUAGAAAGGAGUUUAGCCACAUGUAUCAAGAGUUUUAAUAAUACCCUUUUAGUCAUUCUUCUGACAGGACCCCUGUCUAGUAGAUAUCAUAGAGGUCAACAAUGAGUCAUGAACAGUUCUGUUCCCUUGGCAUUGUAAGUAACUGAUUUCAAUAUCAUGGCAUUGUUUAUGCAAAUUAUGAAAUAUCUACACAUUGAAAAAUUAUAAUGUUAUUAGAAACAUAUUCACAGAAAUUUUCAAUGAUGCGGAUAGUGCAUUAUGUAAAGAAAGUAAACUAUGAAAUUUUAACUACACUUAAAUUUAGCAAUAGAAAUACUUAAAUCAAAUAACACUUAUUACAUGUUGACUCUCCUCCCACCUUUAAAUGCAGUUAUUAUGAUAUGCUAUUAAGUGUAAUUUUUCUCCUUAUUUUAUACCCAGGCAUUUCCUAAGACUUGCUAUUUCUGUCCCUCCUUCCUACUUCAGUGUACUGACAUCCCUGUGUAUUUUGGUUCUUUUGCCCCCAUUUGUUCAGCAAACAUUUAUUGGGCACCAUGCAGGAAAGGAUCUAAAGGGAGCACUCCAGGAUGUUGAGGGUAGAGAUUGCUGGUGUUGAAGUUGCAAGUCAUUUUUCUUUCCUUCUUUAUUCUCUUUCAUUUCUUCUAAACUUUCCACAAUGGGCAUAUUUUCAUUUAAAAAUCUAACAGAAAGAAACACUCUGUAUGAUAUAUACUGUUACCAUGUGCAUUUUUCCAUAAUUCCUUGCUGAUUAAAUUUCUUUUUGCUUCUCAACCAUCAUUUUGGUUUCUAAAUACUGUCCUUCUACUGAAAUUACUUAUUCAGAGGCAACCAUUAGAUUUCUUCUAAAAAAUAGGCUAGGCUUUUUCCAGUUUUCUUCAUCUUCAGUUUUUCUGACAUACUUUGCCAUUUUGAUUAUUGACUUUGGGUGUAAUAAAAAUGUAUUGUGGAAAUUUUAGAAAAUACAAAUAAGCAAAAAAUAAAAUUUGAAAUCAGUGAUCUCAUGUCUUGGAGAGAGAUAGCUCAUGGGCAUAUGUUAUGUUGUAUUUAUUAUCUACUAUCUAGAAUAAUCAUUACUCAUCAUAUAAAAUAACUGAUAGGCAUUUAAUUUUAUGGAUUUGCCAUUACUGAUGAAAUUAGGUACCUGGGAUUGAACAUUUAGGUUAUUGCCAAUUUCUUUCCUUUAUAAAUGAUACAGAUUUAAACAUCCUUGUAAAUGUCUUGCACAUUUGUUCCGUCAGAGCUUAGUAUAAAAUUCUUAGAAAAUGAACUUUUUUGCAGCGAAGAUUAUGAAUAACAAUCACUUAAAGCUUUUGUUAACAUGUUGUUGUUUUUUUUUCAGAAGGGCAAUACUAGUUUGUUUACCUAUCCCUCAGUUAUACCUGCAUGUGACCUGGAACACGUGGCAGUUCAUGGUUUUUCAUUAUAUUUUUAUUACUGCUGAAUUUUUACAUUUUUCAAUGUAGUUACUGACCCUUUACUUUUUAUAUUUUAUAAGCUGUCUGAUCUUCUCAUUAGCCCAUUUUUUUCAUUAAUGUGAAAAUAUGUUUUCAGGAUACAGAGCUGCACUGUACAGUACUAAUGCAUUUGGCUCGUAAGGCAACUGAAACAUGGCCAGUUCUCACUGGGACAUGCUAUGAGUAUAAAAUAUACCCCAGAUUUUGUAGACUUAGUAAGAAAAGAAAGACUGUAAAAUAUCUCAAUACCUGUUAUGCUGAAUCCCUGUUUAAAUGAUAAUAUUUUGGAUAUAUUGGGUUGAAUAAAAUAUAUUCUUUAAUUUUACCUGUAUUCUCUUACCUUUUUAAAUGUGGCUACUGGAAAACUUAAAAAUAAAUAUGCGCAUCACAGCACUUGUGGCUCUCAUUAUAUUUCUGUUGAAAAGCACUGAUACAAAUAGUCAAUUCCUGUAUAUUUUGACUACUUUUGUCUUUUAGCUUUUUUUGAGUUCAUUAUUAUUACAAAAAUAAAACAUGCUUGAUUAAAACAUUCAAACCAUAUAGAAAUUCAAAAAAAUACAAAUCUGCUAUAAAAAAUCUUUCAUCCCUCUGCAGUUCCAAUGAUAGCCAGUAUUAAGCCAUUGAGUACAGAAUCUGGGAUAUGUUUUGCUUAUCAUAAGGUUUAUGUGUGAAGUCACAUUAUCCCUAAUUUUCUACCCUCCAGAGGACUAAAAACCCAGCCCUAUCUUCUGAAUUAUUCCUUCCCUCCACCUAAGUUGU
rnacentral:lncRNA from 10 species